rnacentral:rRNA from 1 species
UACGUAGGGUGCAAGCGUUGUCCGGAAUUAUUGGGCGUAAAGAGCGUGUAGGCGGCCAGGUAGGUCUGCUGUGAAAACUCGAGGCUCAACCUCGAGACGUCGGCGGAAACCAUCUGGCUAGAGUCCGGAAGAGGAGAGUGGAAUUCCUGGUGUAGCGGUGAAAUGCGCAGAUAUCAGGAGGAACACCGAUGGCGAAGGCAGGUCUCUGGGCCACUACUGACGCUGAGAAGCGAAAGCAUGGGGAGCGAACAGG